UACAGAGGGGCAAGCGUUGUUCGGAAUUACUGGGCGUAAAGGGCGCGUAGGCGGCCUGCUAAGUCGAACGUGAAAUCCCCUGGGCUCAACCCCAGGAACUGCGUCCCAUACUGGUUGGCUUGAAUCCGGGGAGAGGGGAUGCGGAAUUCCAGGUGUAGCGGUGAAAAUGCGUAGAUAUCUGGAGGAACACCGGUGGCGAAAGGCGGCAUC
rnacentral:rRNA from 1 species